rnacentral:rRNA from 1 species
GUGGGGAAUAUUGGACAAUGGGCGCAAGCCUGAUCCAGCCAUGCCGCGUGAGUGAUGACGGCCUUAGGGUUGUAAAGCUCUUUCGCGCACGACGAUAAUGACGGUAGUGCGAGAAGAAGCCCCGGCUAACUUCGUGCCAGCAGCCGCGGUAAUACGAAGGGGGCUAGCGUUGUUCGGAUUAACUGGGCGUAAAGGGUGCGUAGGCGGGCUUUUAAGUCAGGGGUGAAAUCCCGAGGCUCAACCUCGGAACUGCCUUUGAUACUGGGAGUCUUGAGUUCGGGAGAGGUGAGUGGAACUGCGAGUGUAGAGGUGAAAUUCGUAGAUAUUCGCAAGAACACCAGUGGCGAAGGCGGCUCACUGGCCCGAAACUGACGCUGAGGCACGAAAGCGUGGGGAGCAAACAGG